AGACUACCAGGUCGAUAGGCCGGAUGUGGAAGCACGGUAACGUGUGAAGCUAACCGGUACUAAUUAGUCGAUUGGCUUGACCAC
rnacentral:rRNA from 1 species